rnacentral:lncRNA from 1 species
AAAAUCUUCAAACAAUUCAACUCGAUCUACCAUUGCAUAAGGAGAUUCAAAAUCAGUGUUGAAUAAAGGCUAAGUUUGCAACUUAAACUUGUAGCUUGUUUAUAUAAAUUCAGGCACCAUCUCCCCUGUAAAAGAGCCUACUCCAAUACCAUAUACCAACAACAAUCACCAGAGAAAUCCAACAAUACAUAAUUAUCAAUAACAAGACACCAUAAAACAACAAGUCAUAACUAUUUUACGACGAGCGACAAGCUCCAAUUGAAAUCUGUAUACCCCAUAUCAUCCCUUAUAAACUUCUUAAUUUAACUUAAUAGUAUCAUUAACAUGAUAAUGAAGUCAUUCAUCAAUAAUUCCAGCCUUACACCAUAUAUCCAUAACAAGUAAAAUGAUCCACAACUCUGUUAUUCUUAAUUAGCAACUUUAUUCACUAGUUCAUGUCUAGUUCACCCAUUUAACUUAACCAAUGCCAAUAUAACCUUAAGAACCUGUAGGAACACAAUAUAUUUACCUCAUACAGUAGAUGCAAGUCGAAACCCAUAUUAUAUUUAGCUUACAACAUCCCAAUACUCCCCAUUCAAUUCAUACAAAAAACGACGACUAUAGUACUAUCCAACACCCAGGAAAUAUUAUAAAGAAUGACUAAUCCAUUAUUUCACCAUUAUGUGGUGUUUCUCCAUACCAUUUAUCCUCCAAAAACUCCAUUAAAUAGCAGAAAAAUAUACAGCCCAUAAAACAGUCCAUUACAAAUCAAAUAACUCGAAUCCAACGAAACAACUCGAUAAACGUAUGCGAAUUCUAGUCAUGCCGAAAAGUAUAGAGAAAGCCCUACAUACCUUGUAUAUGGAGUUAUAUAUGAUUUCCGAGAACUCGAAAGCCUUAGGAAUGAUUUCCUACAUAAUACGAACCAUCCAAUAUCAAAUUCAAGCUCAUAUCCUAUAUAAUUCCUCAUUUAGACAUUUAAGCAAACAACUUGCAGGCAUGAAUUUGUAGACCAUUUUGUAGUUUAAUUUCACCCCACACACCACCAAUUUUACUUUACUACAUCUCCUCAUCGACAUGAUUCCACCCACAUCUUCAUAGAUUCAAUCAACACCAUGAAACUAUAUAAAACAGCCCAAACAACCAAGUCCUAAUUUACAUUACUACAUCUCCUCAUCGACAUGAUUCCAACCAUAUCUUCAUUGAUUCAAUCAACAUCAUGAAACUAUAUAAAACAGCCCAAACAACCAAGUCCUACUAAGAGGAGUUUCUUAAUAAAAUCAUGAAUAUUUCUAUAGAGAUUUCAACUAUUUCUUAAUAAUUCUUAUGGUAGGUGUUUACAAAGAUCAAAGAGAAAGUUAAAUCAUACCUUAUGUGGCCAGAAUUUCUCCAAAUUCGAAAUUACUUCAAGGCAGAGUCUUGCUAUGAAAAGUGAAACACCGAAGAAUUCACAAAUCCGAAGUUGCCAUGGUUUUCUCCAUCUUGAGGAUGACUAAAUUGUUGUUAUGAUUGGAUAGAUGGAUGAGAGGAGUUUGAGAGGAAAUACCCAGGUUUUUGGUUCUG